rnacentral:lncRNA from 1 species
AAGUCAUUUAGAUCCUGUAAUGUAUCCUUGUUCUGAGUGUAUAGGUUCUGCAGCAUCCUCUUUGUAGUUAAAGUUGUCUGUGAUAUUAAGUGGAGCCAUUUGAUUUGUUGUGAUAAGACCACAUAAUACUAGUCACUAGAUGAGGCAAAAUUUGUGCCUUCAUUUAUAUGAAACUAGUCAAUUUUUCCACGCGAAGUAAAUUCAGAAAUAUCCUUUUCAUAAAUUUAGUGAAGAUAUGUAGAAGAAAUAACUUUUUCAUGUUAAAAAAAAGAAAGUCUUAUCAUGGUACAUAUGUGUGUGUGUGUGUGUGGGAGGGGGAGGUGGGAGCAUAUAUAUGUACAAAUGUGUGAUUUACAUGAUAAAUAGGUAUUUUCAUUUAUCAUAGUGCAAAUGUAAUGCAUGCAUCCUGCAUAAAUUCAUUAAAGAAGCUUUUCUAAGAUAGUAUGUUAAUCUUUCUGAAAUCAUUAAUUGAAACAUUGUAAAGAGGAAAAGCUCAUGCGAAGCUUAAGUUUCAUUGUUCACACAUGGGAUUCUUGACGCUUAUAAGGAUUUUUAAUAGGUAAAUUUUAUCAUUAAACCACCAAUUACCAUACAAAUAAAAAUAUUUAUUUCUUUCUUUUGUAUAUUGAGAGUAAAGUUAUACAAAUGAAAUAUAUACUUUUUUAGUUAGCAGCAAAAAGUCUUCGUAGGCAACAAACCGAGCUAGUAUAUGGAAGUAUGCAACCAUGUGUAAUAGUUACCGCAGCAAUGGUCUUUUCUGCUUUCUUGUUCUUCCUCACAAUCAAGAGUAGAUGCCCUGAAAUUAUUCUGUUGCUCUUAUUAUCACGAACUGCAUCCCAAAUAUCUAUUCCACCUCCUACAACCAUUCAACAGAAAUUAAGUUGAAGAACUAUUUCAUUGAAAUUAUAUCCAGGCCAGGAUUUCAAAUCCCUUUUAAACAAUGAAUUAAACUUACACUUGUAAAAUGCAAAAGCCGGAGUAGAGCACAAUUAAAUAAGUACAAAGUUGCGUUUAUGAUUUAUAACAAAUAUUGCAUUCAUCCAAUAUCUACAAAGAAAUUCAAUAAUUUAUUAACUAUGUAGAAUAUUGGGUUCAUCUAAACCAUCUAUAGAGAAAUUCAGUCAUUUGGCAUAUUUUAACAUGAUUCAAAAUUUCUAUGGUCAUGUACUCAUGUAUAUUUGGCUAAAUUCAAAAUUACUGGUAUCAAUUCAGCUAAAGCAAAUAAUUCUCGAUCAUUAACUGAUGAAAAAAGAUUACCUGUAGUCUUCGGUAAAUAAUCUUCUAAAUUUGAAAAUUUGGGGACGUACUCAACGUCUUCACAUUUUCUGCUUAUCAAGAAGAGGAACAA